ACGUACACUCCUGCGGGAGGCAGCAGUAGGGAAUCUUCGGCAAUGGGGGCAACCCUGACCGAGCAACGCCGCGUGAGUGAAGAAGGUUUUCGGAUCGUAAAGCUCUGUUGUAAGUCAAGAACGAGUGUGAGAGUGGAAAGUUCACACUGUGACGGUAGCUUACCAGAAAGGGACGGCUAACUACGUGCCAGCAGCCGCGGUAAUACGUAGGUCCCGAGCGUUGUCCGGAUUUAUUGGGCGUAAAGCGAGCGCAGGCGGUUUGAUAAGUCUGAAGUUAAAGGCUGUGGCUCAACCAUAGUUCGCUUUGGAAACUGUCAAACUUGAGUGCAGAAGGGGAGAGUGGAAUUCCAUGUGUAGCGGUGAAAUGCGUAGAUAUAUGGAGGAACACCGGUGGCGAAAGCGGCUCUCUGGUCUGUAACUGACGCUGAGGCUCGAAAGCGUGGGGAGCGAACAGGAUUAGAAACCCGGGUAGUCCCAUGA
rnacentral:rRNA from 1 species